UACGUAGGGACCAAGCGUUGUUCGGAUUUACUGGGCGUAAAGGGCGCGUAGGCGGCGUGACAAGUCACUUGUGAAAUCUCCGGGCUUAACUCGGAACGGCCAAGUGAAACUGUCAAGCUAGAGUGCGGAAGGGGCAAUCGGAAUUCUUGGUGUAGCGGUGAAAUGCGUAGAUAUCAAGAGGAACACCUGAGGUGAAGACGGGUUGCUGGGCCGACACUGACGCUGAUGCGCGAAAGCCAGGGGAGCAAACGGG
rnacentral:rRNA from 1 species